GACGAACGCUGGCGGCGUGCUUAACACAUGCAAGUCGAACGGAAAGGCCCUGCUUUUGUGGGGUGCUCGAGUGGCGAACGGGUGAGUAACACGUGAGUAACCUGCCCUUGACUUUGGGAUAACUUCAGGAAACUGGGGCUAAUACCGGAUAGGAGCUCCUGCUGCAUGGUGGGGGUUGGAAAGUUUCGGCGGUUGGGGAUGGACUCGCGGCUUAUCAGCUUGUUGGUGGGGUAGUGGCUUACCAAGGCUUUGACGGGUAGCCGGCCUGAGAGGGUGACCGGCCACAUUGGGACUGAGAUACGGCCCAGACUCCUACGGGAGGCAGCAGUGGGGAAUAUUGCACAAUGGGCGGAAUCCUGAUGCAGCAACGCCGCGUGCGGGAUGACGGCCUUCGGGUUGUAAACCGCUUUCGCCUGUGACGAAGCGUGAGUGACGGUAAUGGGGAAAGAAGCACCGGCUAACUACGU
rnacentral:rRNA from 1 species